rnacentral:lncRNA from 1 species
UUGAAACUCCUCAAAGUAUCUUAGACCAGCUCAGUCACUUCUUUACCUUAUCCUUUGAAGGUUUUACCAGAGCUGCAGACUUUGUCUUCGCUAAAGUAGAGAUGAGAUCUUUCUAUCUCCACUGCCACAACCCUGCUACAAUGGUGACUCGAAAAGAACUCAUCCAAGAGUCUACAGCCUGUGCAUGUACACUGAGAAGAAACAGUUUCAGGAACCACAGAAAGACCUCUUGAUGUUCACCUGAGGAUGAACAUACAUUAGCCGAACAGAAGAAACAGUUAGUAAUUG